rnacentral:rRNA from 1 species
UACGUAGGGAGCAAGCGUUGUCCGGAAUCAUUGGGCGUAAAGCGCGCGUAGGUGGCCUCAUAAGUCCGCUGUGAAAGUCAAAGGCUCAACCUUUGAAAGCCGGUGGAUACUGUGAGGCUAGAGUACGGAAGAGGCGAGUGGAAUUCCUGGUGUAGCGGUGAAAUGCGCAGAUAUCAGGAGGAACACCGGUGGCGAAGGCGGAUCUCUGGGCCUUGCCUGACGCUGAGGCGCGAAAGCUAGGGGAGCGAACAGG